rnacentral:rRNA from 1 species
GAAUAUUGGACAAUGGGCGAAAGCCUGAUCCAGCAACGCCGCGUGAGGGAUGACGGCCUUCGGGUUGUAAACCUCUUUCAGUAGGGACGAAGCUAACGUGACGGUACCUACAGAAGAAGCACCGGCCAACUACGUGCCAGCAGCCGCGGUAAUACGGAGGGUGCGAGCGUUGUCCGGAAUUAUUGGGCGUAAAGGGCUCGUAGGCGGUUUGUCACGUCGGGAGUGAAAACGCGGGGCUUAACUCCGAGCCUGCUUCCGAUACGGGCUGACUAGAGGUAUGCAGGGGAGAACGGAAUUCCUGGUGUAGCGGUGAAAUGCGCAGAUAUCAGGAGGAACACCGGUGGCGAAGGCGGUUCUCUGGGCAUUACCUGACGCUGAGGAGCGAAAGUGUGGGGAGCGAACAGG